rnacentral:rRNA from 1 species
UGCCAGCCGCCGCGGUAAUACGGAGGGGGCUAGCGUUGUUCGGAAUUACUGGGCGUAAAGCGCACGUAGGCGGAUUGGAAAGUUGGGGGUGAAAUCCCGGGGCUCAACCCCGGAACUGCCUCCAAAACUAUCAGUCUAGAGUUCGAGAGGGGUGAGUGGAAUUCCAAGUGUAGAGGUGAGAUUCGUAGAUAUUUGGAGGAACACCAGUGGCGAAGGCGGCUCACUGGCUCGAUACUGACGCUGAAGUGCGAAAGUAUGGGGAGCAAACAGGAUUAGAUA